CAAAAGCCCCUCUGGAAGCUUGACUGACAGGAGACAACAGAGCACCCCCGUCACUGCCUUCCCAAUGAGUCUCCUUGCAGCUUACUGAUGAUACUCAUGCAAAACAACUCCGGGUCAAUGAUCUCGCUGAUCAUGCCACAUUCAAAGAUGAGCUCCAGACUAUGGAGGAUUUCAUUGGAGAUGACCAAGGACACACAACGGAGAUGAGCAAGGACAAAUACAAGUAGAUACACACAGGAACAUACACCCUAAAGGAGAGAGGGGUUGGGUUAUUAUGUCAAAGCAAUAAAGUACUUCACAGA